rnacentral:lncRNA from 1 species
AGCAUACAUUUUCCAGCUCCUUUUCCGUGAUGAGGUCAAGUACAAGGCGCUUGGCAUACU